UGAGGAAUUUUGCGCAAUGGGAGCAAUCCUGACGCAGCAACGCCGCGUGGGUGAUGAAGGCCUUCGGGUCGUAAAGCCCUGUCAGGUGGGAAGAAUGUCCCGGGACUGAACAGGUUCCGGGAGUGACGGUACCACCAGAGGAAGCACCGGCUAACUCCGUGCCAGCAGCCGCGGUAAUACGGAGGGUGCAAGCGUUAUUCGGAAUUACUGGGCGUAAAGCGCGUGUAGGCGGUCCGGCAAGUCUGAUGUGAAAGCCCCGGGCUUAACCCGGGAAGUGCAUUGGAAACUGUGGGACUUGAGUACUGGAGAGGAUGAGGGAAUUCCCGGUGUAGAGGUGAAAUGCGUAGAGAUCGGGAGGAAUAUCAGUGGCGAAGGCGCCCAUCUGGACGGUAACUGACGCUGAGACGCGAAAGCGUGGGGAGCAAACA
rnacentral:rRNA from 1 species